GGAAGCUUAAGAUUGAUUUGGGAUCAGCUUAUUGUGAGUGGAAAUUUGAUUCUAUGGGUGAAGAAGUUGCAGUUUCUUGGUCAAGAGAAGAAGAACACAAAUUUCAGGAUAUAGUGAAGUCGAACCCUUUGUCUGAGGAGAAAAGUUUCUGGAAUGAGGUUUUCAAGUUCUUUCCAAACAAAAGCAGGGAGUCUUUAGUAAGCUACUACUUUAACGUCUUCCUUCUACGCCGCAGAGCCAACCAGAAUAGGACUAAUGCUGGUAAUAUUGACAGUGAUGAUGAUGAAUCAGAAUAUGGACCUAGAUUUGAUUGUUUUGGGCGUGAUGCUAAGUACUCCAUCUUUCGUUCCCCAAGUAAAAACACAUCUGGAUCGGAGGUAGUACAUGAAUCUUGAAAGAGUGAUCAUGGCAUUUCCCAAAACUGUAUAUUGCCGGAGUUUUCUUGUGCUUUUGCUCUUCAG
rnacentral:misc_RNA from 1 species